CCUACGGGAGGCAGCAGUAAGGAAUAUUGGUCAAUGGGCGCAAGCCUGAACCAGCCAUGCCGCGUGCAGGAAGACGGCCCUAUGGGUUGUAAACUGCUUUUGAACAAGAGAAAACCUCGGUACGUGUACCGAGCUGAUAGUAUUGUUAGAAUAAGCAUCGGCUAACUUCGUGCCAGCAGCCGCGGUAAGACGAAGGAUGCAAGCGUUAUCCGGAUUCAUUGGGUUUAAAGGGUGCGUAGGCGGCCUGAUAAGUCAGUGGUGAAAUCUCUCAGCUUAACUGAGAAACUGCCAUUGAUACUGUCGGGCUUGAGUACAGAUGAUGUGGGCGGAAUAUGACAUGUAGUGGUGAAAUACUUAGAUAUGUCAUAGAACACCGAUUGCGAAGGCAGCUCACAAAACUGUAACUGACGCUGAGGCACGAAAGUGCGGGGAUCAAACAGGAUUAGAUACCCUGGUAGUCCGCACCGUAAACGAUGAUUACUCGUUGUUGGCAAUAUGACCGUCAGCGACCAAGCGAAAGCGAUAAGAAUCCACCUGGGGAGUACGCCGGCAACGGUGAAACUCAAAGGAAUUGACGGCGNGAGAGNGCGAGCGACGACGAGGGGAGAGG
rnacentral:rRNA from 1 species